GCACAAGCGGUGGAUGAUGUGGAUUAAUUCGAUGCAACGCGAAAACCUUACCUACCCUUGACAUGUCUGGAACCUUGGUGAGAGCCAAGGGUGCCUUCGGGAGCCAGAACACAGGUGCUGCAUGGCUGUCGUCAGCUCGUGUCGUGAGAUGUUCGGUUAAGUCCGCUAACGAGCGCAACCCUCACUGUGUGUUAUAUGUGUCACACGGGACUGCCGGUUUUAAGCCGGAGGAAGGUGGGGAUGACGUCAAGUCAGCAUGGCCUUUAUAUCCUGGGCUACACACACGCUACAAUGGUCGGUACAAUAGGUUGCCAAGCCGCGAGGCGGAGCCAAUCCACAAAGCCGGCCUCAGUUCAGAUUGUAGGCUGCAACUCGCCUGCAUGAAGAUGGAGUUGCUAGUAACCGCAGGUCAGCAAUACUGCGGUGAAUACGUUCCCGGGUCUU
rnacentral:rRNA from 1 species